GACCGUGUAGCUCAGUUGGUAGAGUGUCGAUCUAGUAAUUCGAAGGUCGCGGGUUCAAGACCCAGCCGCCUCAGUCU